AGCGAACGCUGGCGGCAGGCCUAACACAUGCAAGUCGAACGAACUCUUCGGAGUUAGUGGCGGACGGGUGAGUAACACGUGGGAACGUGCCUUUAGGUUCGGAAUAACUCAGGGAAACUUGUGCUAAUACCGAAUGUGCCCUUCGGGGGAAAGAUUUAUCGCCUUUAGAGCGGCCCGCGUCUGAUUAGCUAGUUGGUGAGGUAAAGGCUCACCAAGGCGACGAUCAGUAGCUGGUCUGAGAGGCUGAUCAGCCACAUUGGGACUGAGACACGGCCCAAACUCCUACGGGAGGCAGCAGUGGGGAAUCUUGCGCAAUGGGCGAAAGCCUGACGCAGCCAUGCCGCGUGAAUGAUGAAGGUCUUAGGAUUGUAAAAUUCUUUCACCGGGGACGAUAAUGACGGUACCCGGAGAAGAAGCCCCGGCUAACUUCGUG
rnacentral:rRNA from 1 species